AACGAACGCUGGCGGCAGGCCUAACACAUGCAAGUCGAGCGAGGACUUCGGUUCUAGCGGCGGACGGGUGAGUAACGCGUGGGAAUGUGCCCUUCUCUACGGAAUAGCCCUGGGAAACUGGGAGUAAUACCGUAUACGCCCUAUUGGGGAAAGAUUUAUCGGAGAAGGAUCAGCCCGCGUUGGAUUGGGUAGUUGGUGGGGUAAUGGCCUACCAAGCCGACGAUCCAUAGCUGGUUUGAGAGGAUGAUCAGCCACACUGGGACUGAGACACGGCCCAGACUCCUACGGGAGGCAGCAGUGGGGAAUCUUAGACAAUGGGGGCAACCCUGAUCUAGCCAUGCCGCGUGAGUGAUGAAGGCCUUAGGGUUGUAAAGCUCUUUCAGCUGGGAAGAUAAUGACGGUACCAGCAGAAGAAGCCCCGGCUAACUCCGUG
rnacentral:rRNA from 1 species